AUCCAGCUGACGAAUACCAAACAGGAUGAAGCGUGCGUCCUGGGU
rnacentral:hammerhead_ribozyme from 1 species